rnacentral:rRNA from 1 species
UGUCAUUGUAAUCUCACUACCAUCGACUUUGGUCUUUUUGGUAUGUGGACUUGGAUGUUGCCGUGAAUAUCUAUGGCUCGUCUGAAAUGCCUGAGUGUACCCCGCUUUGCGGCGUAUUCGGUGUGAUACAUCUUCACCGGAGUUGAUCCUUGUGGUCGCGUCUGUAAUGGUGUGGCUCUAUGCUUCCAACCGUCUAUCCUUAUGGACAAUCUCUGACAAUUUGACCUCAAAUCGGGUGGGACUACCCGCUGAACUUAAGCAUAUCAAUAAGCGGAGGAAAAGAAACUAACAAGGAUUCCCCUAGUAACGGCGAGUGAAGAGGGAAAAGCUCAAAUUUUGAAUCUGGUGUCUUUGACUCCCGAGUUGUAAUCUAGAGAAGUGUUUUCCGUGUCGGACCGUGCACAAGUUCCCUGGAACGGGGCGUCAUAGAGGGUGAGAAUCCCGUAUAUGGCAUGGACUACCGAUGCUUUUGUGAUACACUCUCAACGAGUCGAGUUGUUUGGGAAUGCAGCUCAAAAUGGGUGGUAAAUUCCAUCUAAAGCUAAAUAUUGGCGAGAGACCGAUAGCGAACAAGUACCGUGAGGGAAAGAUGAAAAGCACUUUGGAAAGAGAGUGAAACAGUACGUGAAAUUGUUGAAAGGGAAGCGUUUGAAGUCAGUCAUAUCUGGUGGGAUUCAGCCGGGCUUUUGCCAGGUGUACUUCUCGUCCGAUGGGUCAGCAUCAAUUUCGACCGGGGGGAAAAGGCAUUGGGAAUGUGGCUGUCUUCGGGCAGUGUUAUAGCCCUUUGUUGUAUGCCUCGGUUGGGAUUGAGGAUCGCAGCGCGCCUCAUGGCCAGGGGUUCGCCCCUUGAUACGYGCUU